GGCAUCCCUAUUCAAUCCAACGUAUUUUGAUCGUAGCCAACAUAUCGCCGGCUCAAGCAUCUCCAGCGCACGGCUCAAGCUGACAACGUCGACAGCUGUCAAUAUUUUUCUUUGUUUGUUGUUUUAUUAUUGUGGUUGGUUUGAACGGGUUUCUCCGUUUUUUGAGAAACUUAGGAAAAUUAUUGAAAAUUCCAAAGUUAAAUAUCGGAAAUAUUAUUACAAUGCACAUUUUCUUUUACGUAACAUACUGAGGGAUGGUGCAGCGGGUGUUGAAUUGGCUCUCAAUUGAGGAUAAGAAUGCCCAGUUUAUUACCUCGAAAUGCAAGGCAUAUGUGAAUUUCAGCCCAGUUGGAGGAUAGGGAGAAUAAGCCCUUACUUGCACAGAACCAGUAGCUGCGUUAUUUAGUGAACGGUGAGGAUCCUGUGGCACUCUGCGGUUAGGAUCCUGUGGCAACUGCAGAGGGAAACUACAUAUUCACUGACAGACCAGACAGAUCCAGAUCAUCCAUAUAUUUACUAUAAAAAGAGACGGGAUUAUGCGGUUUGUGAUGCAAAAUACCAUGCGAGCAAAUAGAGCGCAUUUAGCCCCCCAGCUGCAAUUUCGUGGUCGCUUGUCAUGCAUUGCAGACGGUGCGCACGACAUUGAAGAGGGGGCUCAAUGCGCUUUAUCUACUCGCAUUCGCAAUACUGUUGUGAAAUUACCCAAAAUACUCGUUGAGAGAUAAUAGUUUACUGUUUGGUGACAUUAAACAACCCAUAACAACA